rnacentral:lncRNA from 1 species
UGUCUCUACACCACAGAUUUGAGACUCAUUUAUCCUAAAGGGAGGUGAUCCGUGCAUCGAUCUUGAAUGGAUUGAUCACUAUCUUCCAUGACGAUCCUUCAAUCGGAAGCAUUUAAAAAUUAAGCACUAAUAAUGUAUGUCUCAAAUUUUUAACACCUUGAGAAUAUAUAAAAUUAUCUUUAUUAAUUUUUAAAAUAAAUCAUGGAUACAUAAAUAUGAUUGGUUAUUAAGACUGCCCAACAAGUACAAAACAUGCUCUAGAGAAAAGUAUAUGUCAGCCAA